rnacentral:lncRNA from 10 species
GAGUUGUUAAAUAGAAACAUCAUACAGUUUAGGUUCCUGUACAUUUUUCAGGAGUCUGAGCCAACUAAUCGGAGCGGUGGUGUAAUGAAGAAAAGAAGAAAGAGAAGGGAGUAAAAUGUGAGAAGCAUUCUCCUUAAAAUCAGAAUCAAAAUAAAGAUGCCACUGUUACUACUUUUAAUCUACUCAACAUUGUACUAGUGAUCAUAGCCAGAACAACACAGCAAAAUUAGAAUGAGAACAAGUCUGUACUGUCUGUCCUACUGGA